CUCAUACAUCAUCACUCUAUCUUUAUAUCGCUCUCUUUCAGUGUGAGAGAGAAACAGAGAAAAAUGGUAGGACCCUCGAGGCCUCAAAUUGUUCUGUUUGGUUCUUCCAUUGUUCAGCUCAGUUUUCUCAAAGAAGGUUGGGGUGCUAUUCUUUCUCACUUGUAUUCUCGCAAGGCGGAUAUAGUUCUGCGAGGAUACUCUGGUUGGAAUACAAGGCGCGCCGUGCAGGUUCUUGAUACCGUUUUUCCCAAGAAUGCGACCGAGCAACCGUCGUUGAUAAUUGUGUACUUUGGUGGUAAUGAUUCUGUUCUUUCACAUCCUAGUGGCCUUGGUCAACAUGUACCUCUCCAAGAGUACAUUCAAAAUAUGAACAAGAUUGCUAACCAUCUCAAGAGCCUGUCAAAGAAGACUCGCCUUAUAUUUCUCACUGCUCCGCCUUGCAAUGAAGUGCAAAUUUACGGAAACAGUUGUAUAGAGAGACCGCCAAGGAAUAACGAAUCGUGUCGAAUAUAUUCAGAAGCGUGUUUGGAGCUAUGCCGCGAGAUGAAUAUCAAGGCCAUUGAUCUGUGGUCUGCAAUCCAAAAAAGGGAUGGCUGGCGAGAUGAUUGCUUCACAGAUGGAGUUCAUUUGACACAUGAGGGUAGCAAGAUAGUGGUAAAAGAGAUACUUAAUACACUCAAAGAAGCAGAUUGGGAACCUUGCUUGCAUUGGAAGUCACUGCCAAAUGAAUUCGGAGAAGAUUCUCCUUAUGAUCCACUUGGCCCAGAUGAAAAAACUACGAAUGUUGCCAGCUUGACAUUCCUAGAAACUGAGGAGUAUGACUGAUGUCCAUUUGGAGCUAAAGACAUGCCGCAGAUCAUUGAAUCAUUAGGCAACAACCACAAAUAACAGGAAUUUAGAACUCUGCCUAAUUAAAGAAAAAUUGUGUUCUUAAUUCCUAUCCCAGGUUUUUCACCAUAGAUUGUUAAUCGAUGCAAUAAAAUUGCGACUGUUGCGCGCUCACUCAGGGUUGGAUUCGAACCCAAAAAAACAACUUAGUCUAUAAACAUGUUUUACAUACAUAAUAUUUAUUAUACCUGUAUAAGUCUGUCCUCAUUGUCACAGUUUGUUAGGAGCAAUGAGGCCUCAAUUUGUUCUGUUAGGUUCUUCCAUUGUCCAAUUCAAUUACUAAGAAGGUUUGGGAUUCUCGCUUGUAUUCUUGGAAGGUACUCUUUCUUCUUCUAAUUAUUAAAACCGCAACGUUUCAUA